CAUACCUAGAGGUGUUAGAACGAAAAUAUUUUCUUGCAUAAUACAUAUAAUUUUUGCCAUGUGUAUAAAAAGAUUAUACAGAUGUUUCCAGUCAUGACUGAGAACAACAGUUUGUCUAAAGGGCUGAAGUAAAAUGUAUAGGUGAGAAUAGGAACUUUGCCAUAAGAUGCAUUCAUAAGGUAGGAGUAAAAACAGUUAUUUUAUGAAACCAAAGAAAGUGUAAAAUAUUUCAGUGGCCCCUAAGCAUGAACUUUACUUGUUACCAUUAAUUGUCAAUUUUUAUAAACUGAUCCCAAGCAGGAUAGCUUACUGAGUGGAAUUAGCUACACAUUAGAUGACAGGGCUUCAGUUAGCAGUAAAACAGGAUUUUUCUUUUUGCCACAACCCAGUCACACAUCCCAUGGAUAUUAGGGGCUCUACCCACGGGGACUAACCAGCCAGAGUGUCUAGGGUUGAGGUUAAGAAUGCGUGCAAUUUUACCUCUACUCUGAUGAUAUGCCUUCAUGACAUGGUGCUUAGGUACUGGGACAACUUCAUUGUUAUGUAUGAAUUAAAUGCACCUGGAGAAACUGAGAUUUAUUAUGUACUUAUUUUAUAACAUAAAAAUUAUUGAAAAUGUAAAAAAUGUUUUAAGUCUGUAUCAUGCGAUUUGAUUUCUAUAUAUGCAUAAUUAAGCUACAUCUGUAAAAUAUAUUUUGUAUUGAAAUAAAUGUAAUUCUCUUGUAAAUAGUGUAACUGUAGAUUUAGAGAAAGUUAAAUUUAUGACAUUAAAAUGUACUUACAAUCAAAUAAUUACAUAUUGCUUAAUUAAAAAAAAUGUUAUUUGAUUGAGCAUAAAUUUGGAGAAAUCUUCGAAGCAUAGAGGAGCAAUGUAGACCUAUUUUUAAACUUUCUU